rnacentral:lncRNA from 1 species
UCGAAUACACAAGAGUCAGGAGUGGCAACAAUAUCUGAGUACAGACAUAACUUAAACAAGUUUGCCUUAAGAAGACUAGCACAAAUGUAGCAACGGUCGAAAAGGCAAGGCCUCCUGCCUGGGACCUCCUAACUACUCCUCGAAGCCGAACUCCAUGUAGAAACAUCCUCGGGAUCCUCUGGCUCCUGGACUCCAUCAUAUGAUCGCAGUAUCCGGGAAAAGGGGGAAAAUAAGUAGGAAAGCAACCGUGAGUACUCAUCCAAAUUACUCGCAAGCAAGGAGCUACACUACAUAUGCAUUGGUAUCAAAUGAAAGGGGCAGUAUAUGUGGACUGAACUGCAGAAUGCCAGAAUAAGAGGGGGAUAGUUAGUCCUGUCGAAGACUACGCUUCUGGCAACCUCCAUCUUGCAACAUGUACAAGAGAGUAGAUGGUAAGUUCACCAAGUAUCAUCGCAUAGCAUAACCCUACCCGGCGAUCCUCUCCUCGUUGCCCUAUUAGAGAGCGAUCACCGAGUUGUAUUUGGCACUUGAAAGGGUAUGUUUUAUUAAGUAUCCGGUUCUAGUUGUCAUAAGGUCAAGGUACAACUCCGGGUCAUCCUUUUACCGAGGGACUCGGCUAUUUGAAUAGAUAAACUUUCCUGCAGGAGUGCACCACAUUUUCCAACACGCUCGAUCCCCUUUGGCCGGACACACUUUCUUGGGUCAUGCCCGGCCUCGGAAGAUCAACACAUCGCAGCCCUACCUAGGCACAACAGAGAGGUCAGCACGACGGUCUAAAUCCUAAGCGCGCAGGGGUCUGGGCCCAUCGCCCAUUGCACACCUGCAUGUUGCGUACGCGGCCGGUGAGCAAACCUAGCAAAUUCCAUUACAAAGGAAGUUGUGUUACGCGGUCCAACCCGGCGCGCGCGCUCAGUCGCUGACGUCAAGAAGGCUUCCGCUGAUACCACGACACCGAGUGCCCAUAAUUGUUCCCGCGUAGUUGGUUAGUGCGUAUAGGCCAGUGGCCAGACUCAGAUCAAAUACCAAGAUCUCGUUAAGCGUGUUAAUUGAAGUAUCCGCGAACGCCGACCAGGGCCAGGCCCACCUCUCACCUAGGUGGUCACAACGUGCCCUGUCGCUCCGCCACAAAGUAACAGUCGGGGGCCGUCAGGAACUCCGGCCCACCACUACCUGGAUGGAGCCACCUGCCCCUUCAGCCCCCACAUUUGAAUCACUUGCGGGUACUCUAUGAGCCGACCCGACUUUAGUCACCACAUGUAUCAUGUGUAAUAUGUAUAGUAUAUACCCGUGAUCACCUCCCGAGUAAUAACAGCCCAAUAAUAUAGCAUGGCAGACGGACAAGAAUGUAGGGCCACUGAUGGAAUACUAGCAUCCAAUACUAAGCGUUUAGGAUUGCAGGUAAAGUAUCAACCGUUGUAGCAACAAUGACAGGCUAUGCAACAGAAUAGGGUUAACCGAAAGCAGUAACAUGCUACACUACUCUAAUGCAAGCAGUAGAGAGAAGAAUAGGCGAUAUCUGGUGAUCAAGGGGGGCUUGCCUGGUUGCUCUGGCAACGAGGGGUCAUCAACAAUGUAGUCGAUCGGGGCAUCAGCAGCGGCGUCAGUCUCGUAGUCUACCGGAGAGAAGAGGGGGAAGAAACAAUGAAUACAAUGCAAACAGAUGCAUAACGAUGCAUGACAUGACAAGUAAUGGUGCCAGGAGUGCCCUAACGCAGUAGUAGGUGAUACCGGUGAAGGGGGAAACAUCUGGGAAAGUAUCCCCGGUGUUUCGCGUUUUCGGACAAAUGAACCGAAGGGGAAAAAUUGCAUGUGCGCUAUGCUAGGGAUGUGUGGCGGACGAACGAGCUGCGUAUUCAGAUUUGUCUCGUCGUUCUGAGCAACUUUUAUGUACAAAGUUUUUCGAUCUGAGCUACGGGUGAAUUUCUACAAUUUUCCGAAGUUUUUAAGCAUUUUCUGGAGUCCCUGAAAAUUGGCUAAGUCCUCAGUUUUAAACAUCACUUAGUUGUUUUGCAGAGGCUAUGGCUAGCAUUCUGUACAUCCUAUGAAUUAGUGCCUUAUAUCAAAUCUGGGCACUCUGCUGUGAUCUACAUGGCAGUCUCAGGUCCAUCUACAUUAGUGUCCAUUUGCUUGCUCAAAUAUUUGUUUGAAAAGUGCUAUUAGAUGUCAAUUCCAGAAUCUGUUUUUUAGUUCUUCCGGUUAACAGAACAAAGAUAUUUGUUAUUUUCAUAGGAAUUAAUCCACACAUUAUCUGAAGUAGGUCCAAUGGAAUAAAAUGAAGCUUGUUACAUCUACUUUUUGUUCAUGUAGUUUUUACCCAUGUUAGGACUUGUCUUAUCGCUGUUUAAGGGCUGUUUAGCGGGCUAGUCAUUGUAGAAAUACAAAAGCCAGCUACUGCUACAGUAACUGAAUGUUACUGUAGCAGAGCAGCAGUAGUACGCAGCAGUAACAUAGCAGAAGUAGUGGGCAGUGGCGGGCAUCAGUAGCAACGACGCAAGAGGAACAACAACAAUAAGGUGAGGCCAUGGCGCACAUGCGCGCGAGACAGGAGCAGCGGCGGGACGCGGCGCCGCCACGGACGCGCACGGGGCACGGGCGCUCACGCUGUGUAGGGCGCGGUCAGGCGACAACGUGCACGGCCGGAUGCAGAUAGGGGCAAGCUGGGCGGCAGACACGUAGGCGGGAGCAGCAGUAGGCUGCAGCGCGGCCAUCAGGAGCGGGCGGCUGCAGGCCGGGGUGCAGCCUGGUGUGGCCGGGCGCCAGCCGGAGGCGAGGCCAGGCAGUGGGUAGCACGGGGAAGGCGCGCGCGGAGCGAGGCCCGGCCGUGGCGGAUAGUGGUGCGGCAAAAUCAUGGGCGCGACGCUACGGGAAGCAAACGAGCAUGGGGAGUAGGGGAAACUGAAGAGAAUCUCACAGCGGUCGGACAGGAGUAGACAGCGUGGUCGGGGAGGGUUCGACGGAGACGAAUUUGACGUCGGCAUGAUUUGGGUGUCGAGGUGGAAGACGAGUUCGAACCACUCGUUGCGGGGCGGCUCCGGUCUGGUUCGUUGACGUAGCCGACGGAGACGGCGACAACGCCCCUGCUGGACACCUCCGAGUGACCCGGGGCUGCUUCAGUGCACGACAACGGCGACGGCGUGAGACGGAUGCGUUUGGGCGAGCGGAACAAAGAGGGAGAGGGCGAGGGGAGCGGGGACCGAG